UCUCUCCUCACGUGAUGAGGCAUACAGGCGCCUAACAAUGGCCGUACAUUGCGUUCUAGAGUCUGGAAGAUGAUAAAACUAAAAAGCUUGUGCGCUUUCCUGGUGUGCUUGGUAUGUGUACAAGCUUUCUGGUGGGAUGUAUGGCCCAAGUGCUGGAAACGGAAAGUUGUCGGUAACUGUUCAAGGAAGAUACCAUCGUGGUACUACAGUUUUUGGAGCGGGAGAUGCAAAGGCUUCCUGUACAGUGGCUGCGGCGGAAACUCGAAUCGAUUCAAUUCAGAAGGCGAAUGCCAAAAAGUGUGCACACGUCGUCGCAAAAGCCGUGAAGUCUGCAGCUUGAAGCCUAAGGCCGGAGUCUGCGAAGGUUUCCGUCCGUCAUGGUAUUACGAUGCUGAGCGCGAUCGUUGCCGCGGGUUCAUUUACAGUGGAUGUAAUGGGAAUGCUAACAGAUUUCCAAGCUGUGAGAAGUGCAUGAAAAUGUGCAGUGGCAACAAUGACGCGAGGAAGAUAUGUGAGAAGCGUGCAGCAGCUUUUAGGAGGAACUACAACUUAGGGCUUCAACCGAAUCGCAAUGCCUCUUCAAACACUUUGGCAAAUGCAUUUCGUUGGUAACACUUAUUGCUUGGAAAGCCGUACACACACCAUGCACUGUGUAACCUGAGUGAUCGGUCUUUUGACAAUCAACAUCAGUAAAUGCAAGGUCUGCGCUUUGAACCACGUUUCCAGUAGACGAAAAUUCAAGAGAAAAAGCCAAGAUGAGACUUCAAGUGAACUGAUGCA
rnacentral:misc_RNA from 1 species